UCGGGUGUAGUGCACGGCGCAUGGCAGCAGUUAUUAAUUCGGAAGCCAUUUGAACCUUUCAGCUGCAGUCUGGGGUUCGACUCCCCGCGCCCGAA